UGGAGGAGGGAGCUCAGUAACGGGGGUUCAGACCCGGAGCUCACAAGCGCGCCCCCGACCCUCCACCCCUCUCCCACCGGAGUCACUGCCCGGUCGUCCCGGCCUUGGCGCGUCCAGAGGACCCCUUCGGCCUCCGAGACCGGCACCCCGGGACACCCGCCCGCCUCGAGCCUCCGCGGGAGGCUCCGCUCAGCCUCAAAGGCUACUCCACGUUUCCCUUCCGGCUCCCACCACAUCCGGCCCUGUGUGUCAACUCUAGACCGUCACCCUGCUGUCUCUGGAUGGCCUGCAGGCGCCCUGGCGAGGUCGCGGCCCGGGCAACGUCUCUCCCCACCCCUUCCCCGUCCCGUGGUUCUCAGCGUUCUCGGAGCUACUGGAGAGCCACAGAGCACUUGACUGAUUUCUGUAACUCCCUGUUAAGACACCCGAGAGACGUGCAGUUGAACUUGAUAUGAUACCAUAUUGGGGGUCAUUUCUUUCAAAUGUUGGGUCCUAGCUGGUGGUGAUUCCUACCUGAUUUCUCUGCGUGAGAUGAUCUGACCAACUGCGACUGUCAGACAGGACUUUGGUGUCAGUUCAGGAACUGCAGUGACCCCUACGUGCCCUAGAGCAACUGGUCUUGCGGAAAACAGGCUCCUAAGUAUAUUUACUAUUGACCUCCCGGGCGCACUUUCUGGAGGAGUUUCUCACUUGGCCUCUGCUUUCACUCCUGUAUUGAUGGCUCCCUAAUCCACACUCGACACGGAGAUGCGUUACCCAUAUUUCUACCUACUCUCUGGUUUUCUGCUUAGAACUUUCCAUCUCAGUUCAGCACUCCCAGCACCAAAUUCUAUCUCUUGCCAGCUCCCAAUUGCAUCUGCUCUAUGGUCUCACCAUUUACGCAGCCCCCUGGUUUGCCUUCCUCAGCUGAAGGCUCAAUGUCCAGGGAGGCUUUGCUUCUAAAUCCUGAUAACCUGCUUUUCUCUCCCCAUUUCUGGGAUGCCACACUGUGCUCAGCUCCUUCCUGCCCUGACCACUGACACAACCCCUUCCCAGUCAUGAACCGCACCUCCCAGCACAAAAUCCUUUCACUGUCCACCUCAGCAUCGCCCCAGACUCUCCCACCUGUUUCUCAGUCCACCGCACCCCACCCCCACCCAACACCUCUCCUCCUUCCCUCCACGAUCCCGCUGGCUGUCCUCUCACUAAUUCCAGGCUCUACCCCUUCCCCGGUGCUGCCUCCCUCUUCCCUACAUGAGUUAGGGCACUUCCUGCUCUAAAUGACAGGCAACCCAAUUCACACUCGCUUAAACAGAAAGGAAUUGAUUGACUUACGUAAAUUAAAAGCUCAGGGCACUGUCUGCUUCAGGCCCUGGAAACCAAAGCCUUCAAGGACUCUCCAUCUCCCAGCUUUGCUUCCUUCCAUGUGAGCUAUACUCUCGGGCUCCAUGCGAGACCCCAGCAGAUCCAGGCUCACAACCUCGCAGCAGCAAGGCCAGCAGAAAAACGGCUUCUCUUUGCCCACCCUUCCCACAAGCCUGUGUCCCGACUCUGCUUGGCACGACUGGGUCACCUGUCCAUCCUGUUCUCCCAGCCACUGUGAGCCCCCCCUCUCUGCUACCUUCUCAUCCUCCACAGGGAACCAGUGCCUGCUCCUGGAUCCCUUCUCUGUCACAGUGGGACUGAAGGUGACACGGGACACCAUGGCUAACCAUUUCCCCACAAAGUAUACCACAAUACGCUUCACCUAGCUGCAGCCCUCCUGUGUUGGCACGGGGUGUUUUGUUCCAAACAAGAAGUGGGGCACAGGCCCUCUCUCUUUACAACUUCCUCCUGAGCCUAUCUGGGAUUUCUGUCUUUGUAUCAUACCCGCUCCGUAAGUCAAGACUUGGUACGGAGAUGGCCUCAGGCCCCUCGGGGAACCAGACUUCAUAUUCUUCCUAGACUCACCCUCUCAAUCUCUUUCCUCACUUUCCCUAUUCUCUGAUGGCUUAAUCCCCCCUUCCGUUCUGAAGGAGGUGUCCUCUCCCUCCUCCCUGUGGAUUUUGGGUUCGGAGCGGUACCCACCCUUCCCUGCCCCUGGGGCAGUAACACUUCUUGGCUGAAACUUAAAGGAGGAAGGGGCUACAGGAAAGAAAAAGAUUUCCACAGGGAAAAUAUAUAUUGGGCAGCAUCUCAAAACCGUUCCCCCCAUUAAACCUCUUUCCUCUGUUGUUGUUGAGGUAAGAUGGGGCCUGAAGCAGCUGGUGGCCUUCUGACCAGCACCAGGGGAUGCCAAGCCAGAGCCGACACAGGAAAACAGAGUCCAGAGACAGGCAGCUUCCUGUUGCUCCUAAAACUAGGACCUGGAUUUUUCAAGUACAUGUCCAGUACAUCCUUGCUUCUCCCCAAGCAAACUGGAAUUGGUUCUACUAUCACUUGCAACCAAGAGUCCUGAGUAGCACAAACCCAUAGCACAGCUCCUGGCACAUUGGUCCCUGCCAAAGAGUAACCAUCAGCAUCUUUGUUCAUCGGAUACAGGAGCAAGCUAUGCCCAUCGAUGACGAUAAAACAGAGUAGAAAGGAAAAAGCGCAGUGCCGUUGGUUCCAAACCUUAGUCUCCCCUUCUAUUCCCAGCAUUUGUCCUUCCCACACACACAUUUUGGCCCCCCAGGGAAACUCAAACUUUGUUCAAAGUCGAACCCUCCCAUCUUAUAAAAAUAGUCCCAGGGGCUUCCCUGGUGGCGCAGUGGUUGAGAGUCCGCCUGCCGAUGCAGGGGAUGCGUGUUCGUGCCCCGGUCCGGGAAGAUCCCACAUGCCGCGGAGCAGCUGGGCCCGUGAGCCAUGGCCGCUGAGCCUGCGCGUUCGGAGCCUGUGCUCCGCAACGGGAGAGGCCGCAACAGUGAGAGGCCCGCGUACCGCAAAAAAAAAAAAAAAAAAAAAGUCCCAGACUCAACCGUCAUGAAUAUUCUGGCAGGCAGCACUUGCUGUCGUUUGAUGCAAGCAGUACCUGCCUGAGCUGCUGGGAGCAGAUGCCAUCUUCAAUUCAGUUUCAACCCGUUGAGCAAAAAAAAGCUGAACAAAUAUUUGUACAGCCUCCUUUGUCCUGCACUGUAGACUUAGAGGAACAAUGGGCUACUGCUCCCACCCUGAAAGGGUUGGCUGGGGGAAGACAGUUAGUCUCGGACAGAGUCUGAGGUCACUUAACAAUACCAGGGAGGCCCCUGGGGGCCCAGGUGAAGUGGUUUAUUAGCACCAGGUUCUAAGUUCCAAAGGUCUGUGCUGCCCACAGCCCUGCCUUCCGACAGAGUUAUACAUCUGUACAAAACAUUUCUUUUGUGACCACCACAAUAUCUAGAUGACAAAUGUUACUCUUAAGUUCCAGGUACCAUGAGUUUUGUUUCUCUGAUUAUAAAAGUUCCCAUUCAUUGUGAAAACUUGGGAAAAGACUAAGUACACAUAAAGAUGAAAAUUUUAAUUAUCUGCAAUAAAUUGGUGUCAAAUAAUAUAGUAAACAUCAAACUAAGAUUUAAAGUGAGAAGACUAAUCCAUACAUGUUUCCAUUUCCCCACUGGUGACCCCAGGGCCUCAGGGAUAUAAAUAUCCUGCAAAAGGUUAGGGGUCAUUUCUUAGGUUCUUUCAAAAAUCCUGCACUCUCCCUACCACACGUAUAUUUUUCAAAACUGCAAUCCUGGCCUCCCAGCUCCGGGGUGGUCUGUGCUCUAUUAUUUAUGUGUGCAUGAUUCAUUGUACUUGCUACCAGCUGCAACCUCUUUCCCCCACCCCAGCAGGCUUAUUAUACAAGCCCCUGCCCCUCCUAAGAGCAGCCAGGGAGCGCAAACUCCUUUUACCAUCUAUCUGGGUGAAAUCUAAUUAGAAAGGCAAAUCUGGAAGAACAGAACACAAAAUAACCACGUUAAAUAAAAAUAAGAGAUGGCUUCAAACCUGACCUUGAGCCAAAAAAUUCACAAAGAGGGGCUUCCCUGGUGGCGCAGUGGUUGAGAAUCUGCCUGCUAAUGCAGGGGACACAGGUUCGAGCCCUGGUCUGGGAGGAUCCCACAUGCCGCGGAGCAACUAGGCCCGUGAGCCACAACUACUGAGCCUGCGCGUCUGGAGCUUGUGCUCCGCAACAAGAGAGGCUGCGAUAGUGAGAGGCCCGCGCACCGCGAUGAAGAGUGGCCCCCGCUUGCCACAACUAGAGAAAGCCCUCGCACAGAAACGGAGACCCAACACAGCAAAAAUAAAAAAAUAAAAUUUAAAAAUCACAAAGAACUGAAGUCAUCUGCUGAUUCAUAGGUCUAAAUAUUCAUUUUUGUCCUCUCACCUCUGAGCCCAACCAAAAGCUGUUUCUAAGGAGAAAAGAAACAAACAAGCACUAGAUGAACUCACACAGAUCUUAUUUAGAAAUCAUAAAAGGACAACAAGGAUUUCGGCUGUCUAUUUCAUCUACAACAGUGCCCAAAGUGCCAAAAACUGACGUAUAAAAAUUGGAUGCAUGGAUGAAUGGGCCAGGAGCCCAUCCCUCUCAUUUUACAAUUAGAAGCCAAGCAGAAAGGAGACAGGAGAGUGGGAAUCUGGUGGAGCCUUCUGCGAUCUCAUGGCCGCUUGGGAGACCAAAAACGGGAGGUCAGUGUCCAUGAGAGAAGUGAGGCCCAGCUGACACCCCAGACUUCCUGUUAGGACCCAAAACAGAAAAGAUGGAAGCUAGGAAACAGCCUUAGAAUGCUGAAAGGAAGUCAUUGCCAAUGUCGAAUUCUAUGUUCAGAGAAAACGAGAGACAGAGGGUAAUCAAUUUGCCCCAAAUCAAUCACAGUAAUGGAAAAGGACGUACAUUCUAUUAUUGGGUGGAAUGUCAUACAAAGGCAAAUUAAUUCAGUAGUGUUUUUCAACUCUUCCAGAUCCUCACUAAUUUUUUUUUCUAUCAGUUAUUGAGUGAGAGACUUCCCUGGUGGUACAGUGGUUAACAAUCUGCCUGCCAAUGCAGGGGACACGGGUUCGAGCUCUGGUCUGGGAAGAUCCCACAUGCUGCGGAGCAACUGAGCCCAUGCACCACAACUACUGAGCCUGCGCUCUAGAGCCUGCGAGCCACAACUACUGAAGCCCACGUGCCUAGAGCCCGUGCUCCGCAAUAGGAGAAGCCACCGCAAUGAGAAGCCUGUGCACUGCAACGAAGAGUAGCCCCCACCCUCUGCAACUAGAGGAAGCCCACGUGCAGCAACGAAGACCCAAUGCAGCCAAAAAUGCAUUAUUAACUUGGCUAGCAACAAUACCUCAUAAAUGCAAAGUGCCCAUUCAAGAACACCGCUUCCAGCACAGAAUAAAUAAGAUACAACUCAUUAAUUCCAGAGAUCCCGGCGUAUAAAGAAUGAGCUCUGUGAAUGGUGAUCUUCGGGUUGUAGAUUCUUGAAGGGCCUGGGUUGUGUGUGGGUCACUUCCCUUGAGUGAAUCCUCAAAACCUGGGGCAGCCCACACAGGCUAGCAGACCAGGCCGGUGACAAAGUAUCAGAAGGAAGUUGGGGGGAGAAAAACAAGUAAAUUUCACAGAAGUUCUACAUUGUGCAAGAGAGGAACUGCAAGAAUAUUGACUCUUACAGCUCUCCUGCCCAGCGCCAUCGUUUAACAUUGGAUUUAGUAAUAUUUGGCAUUUAUUGAGCAAGUAAUGUGGCAGAUAGACCCUAAAAUGUCCCCCAGUGAUGCCCACCUCCUGAGAUUCACACCCUUGUGUCACCCCCCCACCUUGAGUGAUGGCAGGACCUGUGACUUGCUUCUAAACAAUAGCAUAGGGCAAAGGGGAUGAGAUGACACUUCUGCGAUGAUGUUACCUAAGAUGUAACUUCUGUCUUGUUAGCUGACUCUCUCCCUCACUGGCUUUGAUGAAGCAAGAUGCCAUAUAGUGAACUGCACUAUGGAGAGACCCCCCUCUGGCAAGCAACUGAGGGCAGACUCUGACCAACAUCCAGAAAGGAACUGAGGCCCUCAUUCCAACAACCCGGAAGGAACUGCAUCCAGCCAACAACCACGUGAGCUUGGAAGUAGAUUCUUUCCCAGGCAUGCCUUCAAAUGAGACUCCAGCCCUGGCCAACCCCUUGACUGCAGCCUCAUGAGAUAUCCUGGAGCAGAAGACUCAGCUAAGCCAUGCCUGGAUUCUUGACCCACACAAACACAGAGAUAAUAAAUACGUGUUGUUUUAAGCCA